AGAGUUUGAUCCUGGCUCAGAUUGAACGCUGGCGGCAGGCCUAACACAUGCAAGUCGAACGGUAACAGGAAGCAGCUUGCUGCUUCGCUGACGAGUGGCGGACGGGUGAGUAAUGUCUGGGAAACUGCCUGAUGGAGGGGGAUAACUACUGGAAACGGUAGCUAAUACCGCAUAAYGUCGCAAGACCAAAGAGGGGGACCUUCGGGCCUCUUGCCAUCGGAUGUGCCCAGAUGGGAUUAGCUAGUAGGUGGGGUAACGGCUCACCUAGGCGACGAUCCCUAGCUGGUCUGAGAGGAUGACCAGCCACACUGGAACUGAGACACGGUCCAGACUCCUACGGGAGGCAGCAGUGGGGAAUAUUGCACAAUGGGCGCAAGCCUGAUGCAGCCAUGCCGCGUGUAUGAAGAAGGCCUUCGGGUUGUAAAGUACUUUCAGCGGGGAGGAAGGCGAUAAGGUUAAUAACCUUGUCGAUUGACGUUACCCGCAGAAGAAGCACCGGCUAACUCCGUGCCAGCAGCCGCGGUAAU
rnacentral:rRNA from 1 species